UACGUAGGGUCCGCGAGUUGUCCGGAGUUACUGGUCGUAAAGCGCGCGCAGGCGGCGGCGUUCGCCCGGCGUGAAAGCCCCCGGCUCAACCGGGGAGGGUCGUCGGGGAACGCGCCGCUUGAGGGUGGCAAGGGCUGGUGGAAUGCCUGGUGUAGUGGUGAAAUGCGUAGAGAUCAGGCGGAACACCCGUGGCGAAGGCGGCCAGCUGGGCCACCACUGACGCUGAGGCGCGAAGGCGUGGGGAGCGAACGGG
rnacentral:rRNA from 1 species